rnacentral:rRNA from 1 species
UACAGAGGUCCCAAGCGUUGUUCGGAUUCAUUGGGCGUAAAGGGUGCGUAGGCGGCGCGGUAAGUCGAGUGUGAAAUCUCGGAGCUUAACUUCGAAACUGCAUUCGAUACUGCCGUGCUUGAGGACUGGAGAGGAGACUGGAAUUUACGGUGUAGCGGUGAAAUGCGUAGAUAUCGUUUGGAACGCCAAUGGUGAAAACAGACAGCUGGGAGUGUGCUGACGCUGAGACACGAAAGCCAGGGGAGCGAACGGG